rnacentral:rRNA from 1 species
GUUGACCUCGGAUCAGGUAGGGAUACCCGCUGAACUUAAGCAUAUCAAUAAGCGGAGGAAGAAGGAUC